rnacentral:rRNA from 1 species
GGCGGACGGGUGAGUAACGCGUAAAGAACUUGCCCUUUAGACUGGGAUAACAGAGGGAAACUUCUGAUAAUACUGGAUAAGUUAGUAUAUCGCAUGAUAUGCAAAUGAAAGCUACGGCACUAAAGGAGAGCUUUGCGUCCUAUUAGCUAGUUGGUAAGGUAAGAGCUUACCAAGGCGAUGAUAGGUAGCCGGCCUGAGAGGGUGGACGGCCACAAGGGGACUGAGAUACGGCCCUUACUCCUACGGGAGGCAGAGUG